AACGGGGAUUGCCUCAGUAACGGCGAGUGAAGCGGCAACAGCUCAAAUUUGAAAUCUGGCGCCCCCGGCGCCCGAGUUGUAAUUUGCAGAGGAUGCCUCGGUGCGAGGCCGCGCCCAAGUCCCUUGGAACAGGGCGCCUCAGAGGGUGAGAGUCCCGUUGGGCCGCGGCCGACCUCCGUGUGAGGCUCCUUCGACGAGUCGAGUUGUUUGGGAAUGCAGCUCUAAGCGGGAGGUAAAUUUCUCCUAAGGCUAAAUACCGGCCAGAGACCGAUAGCGCACAAGUAGAGUGAUCGAAAGAUGAAAAGCACUUUGGAAAGAGAGUUAAAAAGCACGUGAAAUUGUUGAAAGGGAAGCGCUUGCGGCCAGACUUGCCGCGGCGGUUCGGCCGGGUGCUCCACCCGGCUUACUCCGCCGCGUCGGGCCAGCAUCAGCUUGGGCGGUCGGACAAAGGCCUGGGGAACGUAGCUCCCUCCGGGGAGUGUUAUAGCCCCUCGCGCAAUGCGGCCUGCCCGGGCUGAGGCUCGCGUUCUGCUAGGAUGCUGGCGUAAUGGCCGCAAGCGGCCCGUCUUGAAACACGGACCAAGGAGUCUACCAUCUGUGCGAGUGUUUGGGUGUCAAACCCGUGCGCGUAAUGAAAGUGAACGGAGGCGGGAGCCCCCGGGCGCACCGUCGACCGAUCCUGAUGUCUUCGGAUGGAUUUGAGUAAGAGCACAGCUGGUGGGACCCGAAAGGUAAGCAACCAAUCCUUCUCUUCUACUUUAUAAAUGAAAGCUAAUAGAAAUUUCCCAGAUGGUGAACUAUGCGUAAACAGGGCGAAGCCAGAGGAAACUCUGGUGGAGGCUCGCAGCGGUUCUGACGUGCAAAUCGAUCGUCAAAUUCGCGCAUAGGGGCGAAAGACUAAUCGAA
rnacentral:rRNA from 1 species